AGAUUGAACGCUGGCGGCAGGCCUAACACAUGCAAGUCGAGCGGCAGCACGGGUACUUGUACCUGGUGGCGAGCGGCGGACGGGUGAGUAAUGCCUAGGAAUCUGCCUGGUAGUGGGGGAUAACGCUCGGAAACGGUCGCUAAUACCGCAUACGUCCUACGGGAGAAAGCAGGGGGACCCUUCGGGGCCUUGCGCUA
rnacentral:rRNA from 1 species